UAAAUAAAUGAAUAAAUAAAUAAAUAUUUCUUGAAUAAGUUCAUGGAUACUGAUACUGGUAAUGGAAGUAUUUAUAACUAAAGACUUCUUUAUAAAUACAAAAUGUCCAAGAGAUGUAUUUGUCAAAUAAUUUUUUUUAAUGGCAUCCUGUUUUCCCAUUUGACAGAAGAAGACAUAAAGGCUGUUUCCAGAGGACUAACAGUUGGAGGCUGGUGGCCUUGAUAGACCCCCAGGUGAGACUAAAACAAACAGCACACCACGCGACCAGCAGACAGCCCGGUCAGCGUUCCUGUAAGAACCUGGGCUUGCAGCAGGCGGAUCAUCGCGGAAUUCGACCUGAAUCCUAGCAUGUUUUGUUUUGCUGAAAGAAAUGGUGUCAUCAUUGUUUUCCAGCAAUUUAUUUUCUUGUGGUAUAAGUGCCCCUGAUGUACAAAAUGACCACAGCCAUCCCUUUUCAUCGUCAAACUCCAGCAAUGGCUGCUUUUAGAAAGAAAUUUCAUGAUGGAUUUUACAUUCUGCAUAUGGGAGAAACAAAUCCGAUAGAAUACAAUGGACUACAUGUGGGUGCUGAGAGCCAGCAUGGGUUCUCUUAGAGCCUGCCACCUGGAAGAAAGUGAUUUCUGAAGAUAGAAGCUGGUUACGUAACGCUGAUGUACAAAAAUGAAGAGAGGAAUCAUGCAGGAUCAUUCAGGCUAGAAAUGCACCUACCUGGGGCUAGAUGUUGCAGGAGAAAGGAGUACAGUGAUAGGAACCUUUGAAGAGCUCAUGACCCUCAGGGCAUGAAGAUAUCAGUUCACAGAAUAUUUUAUCAUUUUCCUGUCUACCAUCUUCCUGCUUUGACUUUGAGGACAUGAAAACAGCUGGGAGAGGGAAGGGGAAGGGGGAGAAGGGAAGCACAAGGCAGUAAAUAAAGGAAGAAACUAAUCAGCCACUCUUUCUCAUUGUAGGCUUUCAGCCUGAAGCAGAACCAAGCUGGGGGAGGAGGAGUUUUACUCUGAGAACUUUUGGUUGGAGAAAAGAAGUGCCAAAGGGAUGAGACCACGCCUGAAGCUCAAAACUGAACCAGACUUAGGGGUGCAG
rnacentral:lncRNA from 1 species